CAACGAGGUAGAGGUCGCGAGGUUCAUUAACUCUGUGGAGUGAAGCAACACAUAGAAACAGAACUAGGGAACAUCGCCGAAACAGUCUUUUUUUGCUUAAAAGAACUGUUGGGUCGCAAGUGAAUAAUUUGCGAACUGUCUUAGCAACAGCUAAGGUGCGCUAUGUUUUUG
rnacentral:ncRNA from 2 species